rnacentral:tRNA from 1 species
GGGCGCGUGGCCUAGCCAGGAUAUGGCAGCAGCCUCCUAAGCUGCAGGUCAGGGGUUCGAAUCCCCUCGCGCUCG